rnacentral:rRNA from 1 species
GACGAACGCUGGCGGCGUGCCUAAUACAUGCAAGUUGAGCGCUGAAGGUUGGUACUUGUACCAACUGGAUGAGCAGCGAACGGGUGAGUAACGCGUGGGGAAUCUGCCUUUGAGCGGGGGACAACAUUUGGAAACGAAUGCUAAUACCGCAUAAAAACUUUAAACACAAGUUUUAAGUUUGAAAGAUGCAAUUGCAUCACUCAAAGAUGAUCCCGCGUUGUAUUAGCUAGUUGGUGUGGUAAAGGCUCACCAAGGCGAUGAUACAUAGCCGACCUGAGAGGGUGAUCGGCCACAUUGGGACUGAGACACGGCCCAAACUCCUACGGGAGGCAGCAGUAGGGAAUCUUCGGCAAUGGACGAAAGUCUGACCGAGCAACGCCGCGUGAGUGAAGAAGGGUUUCGGAUCGUAAAACUCUGUUGGUAGAGAAGAACGUUGGUGAGAGUGGAAAGCUCAUCAAGUGACGGUAACUACCCAGAAAGGGACGGCUAACUACGUG